GACAGCCGGCAGAAGGAGGGGCACGGUGCUGCGUUCAAGUGCUGUGUUGCAAAAAUCAGUGGUCUUGGUUUUGCUCAAUAGCCCCUGCUUUGUCAAACAAGCAAAAAAAACCAAAAACUCAUCAAAAACUUGUAUCUGCCGGCCACCGUAGCACCAGCGUGAUGACGGCAGUUGACCAGUGAGCGUCAAUCCCUCAGCCACUCGCCCACCCCAGGGACACUUUAACGCCGCCGCUGUCAAAUUACACGAGAGAGAAGCACCGGAGGAGCACUCUGUCUGAUUAGUCAUCCUGCUCAGCAGCUGUAUUUUGACACAUGCACAAACAAUCACGGUCAUCGCCAGUCCCAGAUGCUCACAGGCUCAGAGAGAGAGAGAGAGAGAGAUAACAAUAAAGUUAUAUUCUGAA